GGCGGGCUCUAUUGCUAUAUAAAGGAUUUCCCGAGGUCGGCCCGUCCUUUUCCCACGCGCUUCGGUUCCUUCUUUUUUUCCCCUCUGUGUUUCGGCUCCUCCAUUCUGCUAGAGAAACCUUCAGGCGUGAUGGUUCCACGAGGGCUCCCGCAGGUUCCGAAUGAAGAAUGCUUGACCCGGGGAGCGGCCUGCCUGGUUUCGGAGAGCCGAAGCCCAUCAUACUUAUGCAGGGUCAACGCAGGCUGGCCAUGCGCAAUGAGGAAACGCACAUGCACGUGACCUGGUGGGGAUACUUUCGACUUACGAGGGGAAUACUUAGUGGCUGAAAUGAGCUGAAGAGGUGAUGAAGUGAGUGACCUGUGUGUAGUAGUGCCAGGAGGCUGUCUCUAGCAGUGCCGUCAGCCAAGGAGAUCUGCCCUUUGGAUGGAUCUGCUGGGUUUGAUCAGAAUCUACCUUGCUUGGACCUUUACAGGAGCUGAUCCACAAGGACCUUCUGUAUUGUACAAUAAGGUUCCAAGGCAGAAAGCCUACUCAGUGGGGCUGAGUGACUUAACCUCCCCCUCAAUACAAUGCACUCCCCACUUUUUGAUAAAAAUUUGAGGCUGGGCUUGCCUGCCCUACUUGACUUGUGUAAAUUCAUACUGUUUGUUCCUGGAAGGUUCAAUAAACUACAAGUUAAAUAUC